CCGAGGCGGAGAUGGUGGACGACCUUGAGACACAAUGCAAUCCUGUUCUGAGAUUAUACGGCCUAACUUGAUCUGGAUAAUACCAGCGAAAGGAUCAUGCUCUCACAGCCUC
rnacentral:ncRNA from 20 species